UCGGCUUAGAGUUUGAUCCUGGCUCAGAUUGAACGCUGGCGGCACGCUUAACACAUGCAAGUCGAACGGCAGCAGCAUUGAGUUUACUCGAUGGCUGGCGAGUGGCGGACGGGUGAGGAAUACGUAGGGAUCUACCCUAAAGCGGGGGAUAACUCGGGGAAACUCGGGCUAAUACCGCAUAUGCUCUAAGGAGUAAAGCCGGGGACCUUCGGGCCUGGCGCUUUGGGAUGAACCUACGCCGGAUUAGCUUGUUGGUGGGGUAAAGGCCUACCAAGGCAAUGAUCCGUAGCUGGUCUGAGAGGAUGUACAGCCACACUGGGACUGAGACACGGCCCAGACUCCUACGGGAGGCAGCAGUGGGGAAUAUUGGACAAUGGGGGAAACCCUGAUCCAGCGAUGCCGCGUGUGUGAAGAAGGCCUGCGGGUUGUAAAGCACUUUAGUUGGGGAGGAAAACCUUAAACCUAAUACGUUUGAGGCUUGACGUUACCCAAAGAAUAAGCACCGGCUAACUC
rnacentral:rRNA from 1 species